UAGGGAAUCUUCCGCAAUGGACGAAAGUCUGACGGAGCAACGCCGCGUGAGUGAAGAAGGUUUUCGGAUCGUAAAACUCUGUUGUUAGAGAAGAACAAGGAUGAGAGUAACUGCUCGUCCCUUGACGGUAUCUAACCAGAAAGCCAUGGCUAACUACGUGCCAGCAGCCGCGGUAAUACGUAGAUGGCAAGCGUUGUCCGGAUUUAUUGGGCGUAAAGCGAGCGCAGGCGGUUCUUUAAGUCUGAUGUGAAAGCCCCUGGCUCAACCAGGGAGGGUCAUUGGAAACUGGAGAACUUGAGUGCAGAAGAGGAAAGUGGAAUUCCAUGUGUAGCGGUGAAAUGCGUAGAUAUAUGGAGGAACACCAGUGGCGAAGGCGACUUUCUGG
rnacentral:rRNA from 1 species